CCUACGGGUGGCAGCAGUGGGGAAUAUUGGACAAUGGGGGCAACCCUGAUCCAGCCAUGCCGCGUGUGUGAAGAAGGCCCUCGGGUUGUAAAGCACUUUCAGUGAGGAAGAACGCCUGGUGGUUAAUACCCAUCAGGAAAGACAUCACUCACAGAAGAAGCACCGGCUAACUCCGUGCCAGCAGCCGCGGUAAUACGGAGGGUGCGAGCGUUAAUCGGAAUUACUGGGCGUAAAGCGCGCGUAGGUGGCUUGAUAAGCCGGUUGUGAAAGCCCCGGGCUCAACCUGGGAACGGCAUCCGGAACUGUCAAGCUAGAGUGCAGGAGAGGAAGGUAGAAUUCCCGGUGUAGCGGUGAAAUGCGUAGAGAUCGGGAGGAAUACCAGUGGCGAAGGCGGCCUUCUGGACUGACACUGACACUGAGGUGCGAAAGCGUGGGUAGCAAACAGAAUUAGAUACCCUGGUAGUC
rnacentral:rRNA from 1 species